rnacentral:ncRNA from 1 species
UAAAUUGAGAGUUUGAUCCUGGCUCAGGACGAACGCUGGCGGCGUGCCUAACACAUGCAAGUCGAGCGAUGAAGUCCCUUCGGGGAUGGAUUAGCGGCGGACGGGUGAGUAACACGUGGGCAACCUGCCUCAAAGUGGGGGAUAGCCCUCCGAAAGGAGGAUUAAUACCGCAUAACAUUAGUUUUCCGCAUGAAAAACUAAUCAAAGGAGUAA